GUUGUUGCAGUUAAAAAGCCCGUAGUUGAAUUUCGGAAUCAAUGUUUCGGUCAUGCCGUUGGUAUGUACUGAUAUUAUUGAUUUCUCACCUUCUAAAGAACCGUAAUGCCAUUAAUUUGGUGUCACGGGGAAUUAGGACUGUUACCUUGAAAAAAUUAGAGUGUUUAAAGCAGGCUCACGCUUGAAUACAUUAGCAUGGAAUAAUGAAAUAGGACAUCCGAUUCUAUUUUGUUGGUUUCUAGGAUCGAUGUAAUGAUUAAUAGGGAUAGUUGGGGGCAUUAGUAUUCAAUUGUCAGAGGUGAAAUUCUUGGAUUUAUUGAAGACUAACUACUGCGAAAGCAUUUGCCAAGGAUGUUUUCAUUAAUCAAGAACGAAAGUUAGGGGAUCGAAGACGAUCAGAUACCGUCGUAGUCUUAACCAUAAACUAUGCCGACUAGGGAUCGGAUGAUGUUAAUUUUUUAAUGACUCAUUCGGCGCCUUACGGGAAAC
rnacentral:rRNA from 1 species